UCGAGAAUCUUUCGCAAUGGGCGAAAGCCUGACGAAGCGACGCCGUGUGAGUGAAGAAGGCCUUCGGGUCGUAAAGCUCUUUCGCUUGGGAACAAGAGGAGUUGGCGAAUAACCAACGAAUUUGAGGGUACCAGGUAAAGAAGCACCGGCUAACUCCGUGCCAGCAGCUGCGGUAAUACGGAGGGUGCAAGCAUUAAUCGGAUUUAUUGGGCGUAAAGGGCGUGUAGGCGGUCUAUUAAGUCAGAUGUGAAAUCCCGAGGCUCAACCUCGGAACGGCAUUUGAAACUGGUAGACUUGAGGGUAGGCGGAGAAAAUGGAAUUCCACAAGUAGCGGUGAAAUGCGUAGAUAUGUGGAAGAACACCGGUGGCGAAGGCGAUUUUCUAGCUUAUUCCUGACGCUGAGGCGCGAAAGCAAGGGGAGCAAACAG
rnacentral:rRNA from 1 species